AAAUGGAAAAGUUGGAGUUAAUUCGUUUAUAGUUGAAGAUGUGCAACUUGUUAUAGGCCUGCUAUGAUUCUGUCUAUAUAUCAAAUGCAACUAUGUUGAAAAGUAUAAGAUGAUACAAAUGAAACAUUAUAGUUGAAUAAAUCAAAAUUAAAACGUUAACCAUCAUGGUUAUACAUGGAUCUGAAAAGUCAACCAAAAGUACUACCUAUCUUCAAAAACUAUACAAGUUUAUAAUUGCUGUAACUAAG
rnacentral:lncRNA from 1 species